ACUCCUGGCAGAAGUUUCUCUGCAGAAGACAGCAAGAUGCCCCAGGGAAUGUUUGUGAAAAAGGAUGACUGGAUGGGAAGCAAGCUGAAGAAAAAGAAGGAAAGAAAGAGAGAAAUCAGUAAAUCACCACACAAGAGGUGGAGAAGAGGACUUAUAAAUAUUGUUUCUAUGACAUUUGAAAAUAAAUGUUUUACUCCAUGCUAAUAGUGAAUGUGAUGUCUUCAGUUUGAAGGGCUUUAAGUGAAGCUCAUUAAAAC
rnacentral:lncRNA from 1 species